AACGAACGCUGGCGGCAUGCCUAACACAUGCAAGUCGAACGAGACCUUCGGGUCUAGUGGCGCACGGGUGCGUAACGCGUGGGAACCUGCCCUUAGGUUCGGAAUAACUCCCCGACAGGGGUGCUAAUACCGGAUAAUGUCUUCGGACCAAAGAUUUAUCGCCUUUGGAUGGGCCCGCGUUGGAUUAGCUAGUUGGUAGGGUAAAAGCCUACCAAGGCGACGAUCCAUAGCUGGGCUGAGAGGAUGAUCAGCCACACUGGGACUGAGACACGGCCCAGACUCCUACGGGAGGCAGCAGUGGGGAAUAUUGGACAAUGGGCGAAAGCCUGAUCCAGCAAUGCCGCGUGAGUGAUGAAGGCCUUAGGGUUGUAAAGCUCUUUUACCCGGGAUGAUAAUGACAGUACCGGGAGAAUAAGCUCCGGCUAACUCCGUG
rnacentral:rRNA from 1 species